UGGGGAAUUUUCCGCAAUGGGCGCAAGCCUGACGGAGCAACGCCGCGUGAGGGAGGAAGGCCUGUGGGUUGUAAACUUCUUUUCUCUGGGAAGAAGAUCUGACGGUACCAGAGGAAUCAGCAUCGGCUAACUCCGUGCCAGCAGCCGCGGUAAGACGGAGGAUGCAAGCGUUAUCCGGAAUUAUUGGGCGUAAAGCGUCCGCAGGCGGUUAUUUAAGUCUGCUGUCAAAGACCACAGCUCAACUGUGGGCGGGCGGUGGAAACUGGGUAACUAGAGUUCGGUAGGGGUAGAGGGAAUUCCCAGUGUAGCGGUGAAAUGCGUAGAUAUUGGGAAGAACACCAGUGGCGAAGGCGCUCUACUGGGCCGAGACUGACGCUGAUGGACGAAAGCGUGGGGAGCAAACAGGAUUAGAUACCCGUGUAGUCC
rnacentral:rRNA from 1 species